CCAGACUCCUACGGGAGGCAGCAGUGGGGAAUAUUGGACAAUGGGGGCAACCCUGAUCCAGCAAUUCUGUGUGCACGAGGAAGGUUUUCGGAUCGUAAAGUGCUUUCAGCAGGGGAGAAGAAAAUGACGGUACCAACAGAAGAAGUGACGGCUAAAUACGUGCCAGCAGCCGCGGUAAUACGUAUGUCACAAGCGUUAUCCGGAUUUAUUGGGCGUAAAGCGCGUCUAGGUGGUUAUGUAAGUCUGAUGUGAAAAUGCAGGGCUCAACUCUGUAUUGCGUUGGAAACUGUGUAACUAGAGUACUGGAGAGGUAAGCGGAACUACAAGUGUAGAGGUGAAAUUCGUAGAUAUUUGUAGGAAUGCCGAUGGGGAAGCCAGCUUACUGGACAGAUACUGACGCUGAAGCGCGAAAGCGUGGGUAGCAAACAGGAUUAGAUACCCUGGUAGUCCACGCUGUAAACGAUGAUUACUAGGUGUUGGGGGUCGAACCUCAGCGCCCAAGCAAACGCGAUAAGUAAUCCGCCUGGGGAGUACGUACGCAAGUAUGAAACUCAAAGGAAUUGACGGGGGCCCGCACAAG
rnacentral:rRNA from 1 species